rnacentral:rRNA from 1 species
GCUUGCUUCUUUGCUGACGAGUGGCGGACGGGUGAGUAAUGUCUGGGAAACUGCCUGAUGGAGGGGGAUAACUACUGGAAACGGUAGCUAAUACCGCAUAACGUCGCAAGACCAAAGAGGGGGACCUUCGGGCCUCUUGCCAUCGGAUGUGCCCAGAUGGGAUUAGCUUGUUGGUGGGGUAACGGCUCACCAAGGCGACGAUCCCUAGCUGGUCUGAGAGGAUGACCAGCCACACUGGAACUGAGACACGGUCCAGACUCCUACGGGAGGCAGCAGUGGGGAAUAUUGCACAAUGGGCGCAAGCCUGAUGCAGCCAUGCCGCGUGUAUGAAGAAGGCCUUCGGGUUGUAAAGUACUUUCAGCGGGGAGGAAGGGAGUAAAGUUAAUACCUUUGCUCAUUGACGUUACCCGCAGAAGGAGCACCGGCUAACUCCGUGCCAGCAGCCGCGGUAAUACGGAGGGUGCAAGCGUUAAUCGGAAUUACUGGGCGUAAAGCGCACGCAGGCGGUUUGUUAAGUCAGAUGUGAAAUCCCCGGGCUCAACCUGGGAACUGCAUCUGAUACUGGCAAGCUUGAGUCUCGUAGAGGGGGUAGAAUUCCAGGUGUAGCGGUGAAAUGCGUAGAGAUCUGGAGGAAUACCGGUGGCGAAGGCGGCCCCCUGGACG